GGGGCAUCGUUUCAAAACCUUUUUUUUCUCUUUCUUGUAUUAAAAAAAAAAGAGCCUUAUCUCGUAACUUGGGUUUGGUUUUAUGAAACAAUCAAAAUUCAGUCACAGUUUAAUAAGUGAAUGUCUUAGCUAUUCUUUAAUAAAAUUCAUUAGUGAAAUGAUAGUUGAACUCUUACAUGGCAUGAGACAUACGCAAGCUCAAAGAAAAGCCCAAAAAUCCUCAAAAGGAUCUAUUUGGCCAAG
rnacentral:lncRNA from 1 species